AUUGAACGCUGGCGGCGUGCCUAACACAUGCAAGUCGAGCGGUAACAGGUGUAGCAAUACAUGCUGACGAGCGGCGAACGGGUGAGUAAUGCAUUGGAAUCUUCCCAGUAGUGGGGAAUAACCAGUCGAAAGAUUGGCUAAUACCGCAUACGUCGGAGACGAGAAAGCGGGGGAUCGGCUCUUCUUCGGAAGAACGGCCUCGCGCUAUUGGAUGAGCCAAUGUCGGAUUAGCUAGUUGGUGAGGUAAUGGCUCACCAAGGCGACAAUCCGUAGCUGG
rnacentral:rRNA from 1 species